GGUUUGACCCCUAACCACCACCCUCCCACCCCAGGCCCUCCAUGCUCUUCUGCUUCCUCGGAGGAAGCAGGAUGUGUCUGUUGUUCUGGCCACUUGGCCCCUCCAGGAAUUCACCCACAGACACCACCUUCCCAUCAGCCUCUGGAGUCCUAAUCUGCUGAGCCAAACUUUCAGCCACCUGCAAUCAAGACCUCAUCCAGACCUGCGGGGAUCUGCCAGUAUUUCCAUUUCAGCCUGUCCUGGAUGACAUCUAUAUUGCGAAGAAAGCACAUGAAAUUGGGUCAUAAAGAAGAAUGUCUGGCCAGAUCUCGGUUUGUGUCUCUGCUCCACGCUGUGCAAGCUGUGUGUCCUUGGGCCAAUGUCUUCACCUCUCUGGACCUUAGUUCCUUCAACCAUGGCAGUAGAGAUGGCAAAACCUAUUCUCAGGCUUAUUAUGAGGACUAAGUGAGUUAAUAGCUGUAAAAUGCUUAAGACAGUAAGCCUCUCAAAAGUACUCAAUAAACGGUAGCCUUUAUCAUUCA